GACGAACGCUGGCGGCGUGCCUAAUACAUGCAAGUCGAGCGGAUCUUCAUUAGCUUGCUUUUGAAGAUCAGCGGCGGACGGGUGAGUAACACGUGGGCAACCUGCCUGUAAGACUGGGAUAACUUCGGGAAACCGGAGCUAAUACCGGAUAAUCCUUUUCCUCUCAUGAGGAAAAGCUGAAAGUCGGUUUCGGCUGUCACUUACAGAUGGGCCCGCGGCGCAUUAGCUAGUUGGUGAGGUAACGGCUCACCAAGGCGACGAUGCGUAGCCGACCUGAGAGGGUGAUCGGCCACACUGGGACUGAGACACGGCCCAGACUCCUACGGGAGGCAGCAGUAGGGAAUCUUCCGCAAUGGACGAAAGUCUGACGGAGCAACGCCGCGUGAGCGAUGAAGGCCUUCGGGUCGUAAAGCUCUGUUGUCAGGGAAGAACAAGUACCGGAGUAACUGCCGGUACCUUGACGGUACCUGACCAGAAAGCCACGGCUAACUACGUGCCAGCAGCCGCGGUAACAC
rnacentral:rRNA from 1 species